GGAACUAAUAUUUGCUCAGAUUGAAGAGUUAAAAAAAUGCUUCUCAUGGAAGCAUAUAUUGUUUCUAUACACAUUGAAACAGAUCACAGCAUUCUGCUGCGUGUUUAAAAACAAGGCAACGUCUCAAAGCUGUGCUUUGGAAUGUACCAUUUUUCUGUUAAAACCUUUAAUCACAAUAUUAUUUUACAGCCAGAGGGAGAUGAACAAUACAAUAUAUCGAUAUACCUUUUGGACAAUUACAUACAUCAAACAAAUGAAAGAAUUGCACCUGCCAUUGCAUUGAAUAUUGCCAACAGGGAAACAUUGGCAAGCCCUGAAAUAAGAGCAAGGGAAAAAGGAAUUUGUUAGUUUAUCUGCCUAUAAUAAUGUCCAAUUUGUAAUAAAAAUGACAACCACAAGGAAGCCAACAUAGGUCCCCUGUCCUGGAGAACAGAAUGUAAGAGGUGCAAAACUAUAUGCUUCUCUUUGUUUUUUUUAUGUUCAUUUUUCAAAAUUUCUUCCCACAAAAGUGUUCUUGCCUUGUCCAGUAAUUGGCAAAAGCAAUGAGGAACCUAUAUUAGUCCAGUAGGUUGACUUAUAGGACAAUAGAUACACACAAACAGAAAACUAUGCGCGUGACCUCAUUUGGUGGGCAUAAACUGCAAUGUCAUGAAGUAAACGCAAAAAGCCUAUCUGCAAUCUUUGUGCGACAAAUUGGACACUCAGAACAAGCUAGCGAACAAGAUUUGCACAAACAAAAAUGUCGGCAGGGGAGAAGAAUUGCAGCUGUUGCUGAUUCAAAACAUACUUUACACAUAUGUGAAUUGGCAUCUCCAUUGCCUAGGUAUUUGAGCUCCUUGUCCUUCAUCUCUUGCAUUCGCGCCUUCAACCGAACAACCAGGGGCUCCUCAGGACUUUCAUCAGGCGGUCUUGAUGCAUCUGAAACUUGUCUCUCCUUUUGGACAGUAUUUUGAUCAACCUCAUUAAUUUUUGGUUCGCUUGGAUCGAUUCCAUCACUAUGCCUCUCAUCAGUACUCACCUCAGGGAUAUAUCCCCCUUCUUUCUUUAACUUAGCAACAAGCACCCACAUGUUUGCUAAAUCAUUUUCCAGAGCAGCCUCCCUUUUCUUUGCCUCCUCAGCCUUUUUCCUGUACUCCUCUUCGAUGAACUCUUUUUCAGCUAAUGCAGUUUCAAGAGAUGCCUCCCGUUGUUUCCUUGCUAGCAACUCCAUUUUCAAAUCUUCUGGAUCAAGGUUCCAAGAGUCCAAUUCAUCAGAGUGCAUUCCCGAAAUUUCAUUUGCUCUGCCAGAGAAUCUUCCCCUCCUUCCUGGUCUCAUGCCAUCACUAUACUUGCGGUUAACACCAUUAAUGUUUUGUGUGCCAAUACCUCUAGAAUGCACAGAUUCUCGAGCAGCCAACAAUUCUUUUUCCAACUUUGCAUUCUGUAAUGAGAGCUUGGUAACCUCACCAGCCAAGUUCUUCAGCUCAACUGCAGCAGCAGAAGCCAGUUCCUUUGCAUAAGAAGCUUCUUCAGCCAGUUUCUGAUUUUGCACCCGUAACCCACUGUUCUCUUCUGAAAGCUGAACCUGUUCUAUCUUUAGCUUUUCAUUCUCGAUUUCCUGUGACUGAACUUUCUUUUUCAAUUCAUCAACAUAUUCCUCAGACACAGCAUGUUCAGAAGCAAGUGAUGUUUUAUCACCAGAGAAUGAAGCCAACUGCUUCUCCAGGAUCUUUACUUUUUCUUGCAAUUCCUUGUUCUGAGAACACUUAGUCUGCAGUUGUUCCUGAAGGACACGGUUGUCUGCUGUCUUUAUCUCCAGCUCAAAAGACUUUUCAUUACAUUGGGUCAUCAGUCUCAUGACUGUCUGCUGCAUAUCAACCAGUGAUGAAUUAGAAAUUGAAGCCUCACCACUCUCAAUGAUGUGUUGCUCUAACAUUCUCAUUUGUCUCCGCUUCUCCUGGAUCUCAUGCUCCAAGUUCUGGAUCUGAAUUUUUGAGCUAUCAGGAUCAUUCACAGACUGCUCAACCAAACGCUUAAGGGUACUUGUGCUGAAUGCAAUCUCUCCGGCAAGCAUCUUUACCUGCUCGACUAGCAGGUCCAUCUGAUCUUGUGUCAUUGCACCUGCAAGUAGUUUUGAAGCACUUAUAAUUUCACCCGCUUGAGUUGAUUCGGUAAUUGUACUGCUAACAGGUGAGAGUUCUUCAUUCCACUUGCUGGAAGAUCUCCUGUGUUUAAAUUCAUGAGACGCAUCUGAUGGAACCACAGAAGCAGAAGACAAAGAGUCUUUCUGAUUCUCAUUUUCUAGAUGUAAAGCAUCCUCCCUCAAAACAUCCAAUUUGUCAUCAUCUCCAACAGAGUGACUCCGCUGAUGACCAGGAACGUCACUUAUUAAUCCAGGAAUCGUAUUCUUUGUAGAAACAAGUAUGAGCUUGGUUAGCCUCUGGAUUCGACUCAUAAGAGCAGCCUUGGCUUCUUCUUCUUCCUCCAAUCUUGAUUGCAUCUUCACUUGACCUUCUUCCAACUGUUGCCUUAAGCUCACAAUCUCCUCAUGAUUGACAGCAACAAUCAUCCCCUUCUUUAAUUGAUCAAGUUCCAGCUUGAGGCUUGAGAUUUCUCUUUGAUAUUUCUUAAUUAACGAUUUUUCAUCAAUAAUCUUAUUACGAGAGGCAUAGAUUUCAACUCUCUUUGCCCUGCUAGCAAACUUCAAUGUAUUAUGUGUUUCCUCCAUAUUGCUAGAUGCAGGAGUGACCGUACAAAUAAGUGAAACAUGUCCAUGCCCACUCAAUGAAGACUGCAGAAGACGGGUAAGUUUUGAAUCUCGAUAAGGAACGUGGGAUGCCUUCCCUUCGCUCAACUUUCCAAUUACAGUUCCAAGAGUUAGAAGGCUUUUGUUUAUGUAAGACCCCUCCUUUCUCCUUAGUCCAGUUGUUUCGGUUUUUGAACUCUCAGAUCCAGCUAGAUCAAUCAAAUUAAGUUGAGAGAAGAUCACUCCAUCGUAAUCAUCACCUAGGGCACUGCUUUCAAUCAUCAGCGUAAAUAUGGUGUGGCUUCUGCUACUCAGCAGAUUAAAGUUAUUCGAACCAACAUGACGAUGCUCUUCUCCAGCAGCAAUGAAAGAAAGUGCAUGCCCAGGAGACAAAACCACUUCUUCCUUAAUACCCUCAACAUAAGUGCCCUGUGCAUCUUCUCUAACACGCAAAUUUUGACCAAUUGGAUCAAGCAAGUCAUUGAUCACCUCAUUGUAAAUUUCAAGAUAAGACACACGCAAUAAGAACUCUCUUCCUGGAGUAUCUUGAAUAAUGCUGAAAACAUCCUUUAUGGCUAAUGGUAUGAUACCAGGAGAAUUUUGAUCUCCAUGCAUAGUGUGUGUCUUUCCGCUGCUAGUGACACCAUAAGCAAAGACAGUUCCAUUAACACCUUCCAUUGCAGCCUUGACUACUGGUUUGGCAGCAACGUCAUAUACCUCUUGAGAAGUCGUGUGCUGUCCAAAUACUCUAUCAAAUGCAUAAGCCGUAGCCGUAUUAUACUCAUUUCUAACGAUCUUAUCUCCAUCCGCAUACCAAGAGAUCUCAUCCCCUCUCUGGAACUCUCUCUCGCUCAACGGUCUAAACCGAAUCGUCACCGAUAUACUAUCCCCAUUCCUCGGCACAUCGACCAGCUCGGGAAUCAAUUCCUCAGAACCAAACGCAACAGGAGCACGACCACAGUAACCGCGAGGACCGUAAUACAUUGAAUCGGAGCCCGACCGACUGGGCGUCAUGGAUCGUCCGCCACCAGAGUUGAAAAACGAAGAAGAAGCAGAAGACGAGCAGGAACGGGGAACGAACCUGUUGCCGAUGUAAGAAGAGGUGGAAGAAGUGGAAGAGUAAGGACUGGAAGGUUUCCGAUUAGAGAACGGAGAGCUGCUCCUUGCUCGGGAGGAUGAGGCCAUUCCAGUGAAGAAGAGUCGAGUUGACUCGGUGAGCCAAUGAGCGACUCGGCUGAGAAGUGUAAAGUCAACCAGAAACAGGAGGAGGAGGAGAAGGAAGACAAGAAAGCAGAAGAACAGAAGAAUCAGUGAAGUCACAUGGCGUCUGAGACAAAACCGAAUAACAUUGCAGUUUUUUAAUUUCCCUUGAUACUUUAAGCUAUUGAAGCUACAGCCUACAGAGAGAGACAGAGAUUAGAGAGAGAUUGUUUCUUCUUCUUUAAGACAAAGUGAUGCAGAGAAUUACAGAGAUAGAAGAGAAGAGAUUUGAUUUCUAAUAGACCAGAGCGACAGAGCUGUGAGAACGAU
rnacentral:misc_RNA from 1 species